rnacentral:rRNA from 1 species
CCUAAAAAUCCCAUGGCAAACUGCUCAGUAACACAUGAUCAACUUACCCUAUAGAGGAAAAUAACCUCGGGAAACUGAGGAUAAUGUUCCAUAAUUGAAUCGGCUUGGAAAAGUUUUUCAAUAAAAAGGAUAAGGAAAAUGGUUCUUAUUUGCCAUAGGAUAGGAUCGUGCUCGAUUAUGGUUGUUGGUGAGGUAACGGCUCACCAAGCCGAUAAUCGAUAGGGGCCGUGAGAGCGGGAGCCCCGAGAUGGGUACUGAGACAACGACCCAGACCUUACGAGGUGCAGCAGGCGCGGGACCUCCGCAAUACACGAAAGUGUGACGGGGUUACCCAAAGUGUCCAAUAUUGGACUGUGGUAGGUGAGUAAUGUCCCCUACUAGAAAGGAGAGGGCAAGGCUGGUGCCAGCCGCCGCGGUAAAACCAGCUCUUCAAGUGGUCGGGAUGAUUAUUGGGCUUAAAGUGUCCGUAGCCGGUUUAGUAAGUUCCUGGUAAAAUCGAGUAGCUUAACUAUUUGUAUGCUAGGAAUACUGCUAUACUAGAGGGCGGGAGAGGUCUGAGGUACUACGGGGGUAGGGGUGAAAUCUUAUAAUCCUUGUAGGACCACCAGUGGCGAAGGCGUCAGACUGGAACGUGCCUGACGGUGAGGGACGAAAGCCAGGGGAGCGAACCGGAUUAGAUACCCGGGUAGUCCUGGCCGUAAACGAUGCAUACUAGGUGAUGGCACGGCCAUGAGCCGUGUCAGUGCCGUAGGGAAACCGUUAAGUGUGCCGCCUGGGAAGUACGGUCGCAAGGCUAAAACUUAAAGGAAUUGGCGGGGGAGCACCACAAGGGGUGAAGCCUGCGGUUCAAUUGGA